AUUUAUGCUCCCACUAUCAUGAUGAUUAUUAUAAACAUAACACUUAUGCUCCCACUAGCUUUGACAUGUAUUCAGAAACAACUUAACUUUCAGAAAAACAAUGCUUAUUGAAUUUCUUAAGUUCAUGUUUCUAAUACUUAAUGCUUUGAUAAUCUUUUAUCAAGGCUUCUUGAACUUAUACACCUUUGCCUUAGAUAGUUCAUAUGUGUGUCUAAACAAUUAAGACUAAUUGCCAAACCUCACAAUUCAAAUCAUGGAAAGGGAUACCGUAACCAUGAUCGAAUUCGAGAAUGCAAUUUUACAAUCACUAUCUUCUUAAAAUCUUUCUUAGUGAAAGCAUUUCCUCACAAUCAUUUUCAUGAAUGAGGAAAUCUUAUGACACUUAGAUUUAAACGGUGUAUUUGAUCCUAUCCAUGUGAAUCUAUCAAAACCAAAGUUUACGACAAAUUCAAACUCAUAUUGAUCGAACAUUCUUAAUCUCGAUAUCUUGCCUUAUGGUAGCACAGCUUCCCACCACGUCUUCCAACUAGUUAAGCAGCUCACCCUUUCCUAUCAAUGUACUUUUCGUUGACAAGGUCCUUGCCUUUUAUGCAUUCAAAUGAGAACUCAUAGAACAACUCACAUGCAUAAUUAACUUNUAAGCAGCUCACCCUUUCCUAUCAAUGUACUUUUCGUUGACAAGGUCCUUGCCUUUUAUGCAUUCAAAUGAGAACUCAUAGAACUCACAUGCAUAAUUAACUUAAUUGGAACGGCACAAAAACAAAAUAAUGUCAACACGAUAGGUUGUAAACCUCAACUCGUGUGCUAGUGAUGACCGAUAAGGUUUAUUUUGAUUUGUUCUUGAAACUUUUCAAGACCAUUAAGACUCCCACUGACUCCUUGACAUAUAAGAUUCUCUUGUCAAUAACCAUUUCUUGACAAACAUAUAUUCAAGAGUUAGUGUAGCUUUUAUCAAAACACUUCAUAAAUUGGUCCUAGUUGGUCUUUGUCUUAUCCAAGACAUUACAACUUUUCCACAUUUGAUGAAUGCUAUAAACCUUCUUAAUACUUAUCACUCAAUGUCGCAAUCUUAACUCUAAGACUUGUUUUGGAACGAAGUAUGAUUGGCUUUUUGAUUUAACCAUUUCUUCAAUUCUUG
rnacentral:lncRNA from 1 species